GUUAUAACCGGCGAUACCCGAAUGGGGAAACCCAGUGUGAUUCGUCACACUAUCAUUAACUGAAUCCAUAGGUUAAUGAGGCGAACCGGGGGAACUGAAACAUCUAAGUACCCCGAGGAAAAGAAAUCAACCGAGAUUCCCCCAGUAGCGGCGAGCGAACGGGGAGGAGCCCAGAGCCUGAAUCAGCAUGUGUGUUAGUGGAAGCGUCUGGAAAGGCGCGCGAUACAGGGUGACAGCCCCGUACACAAAAGCGCAUGUGCUGUGAGCUCGAUGAGUAGGGCGGGACACGUGGUAUCCUGUCUGAAUAUGGGGGGACCAUCCUCCAAGGCUAAAUACUCCUGACUGACCGAUAGUGAACCAGUACCGUGAGGGAAAGGCGAAAAGAACCCCGGCGAGGGGAGUGAAAAAGAACCUGAAACCGUGUACGUACAAGCAGUGGGAGCACAGGUUUACCUGUGUGACUGCGUACCUUUUGUAUAAUGGGUCAGCGACUUAUAUUCUGUAGCAAGGUUAACCGAAUAGGGGAGCCGUAGGGAAACCGAGUCUUAACCGGGCGUUAAGU
rnacentral:rRNA from 1 species